AGUAUGCAUGUUCAUUUGUUUGUUUCAGCAUGUUAAUUACUCAGAAAAAAAAAUGUUGAAGAUGCCUAGGCCUUCUUUCCAUAACCAGGAGUCUUCGAAAUUCACUGGAUCCUUACCUAACAAGUACUGAGACUAAAAUUGGGCCAGGCAUGUGCUUGCUACCCAGGAUGCCAAGAGGAGAACCACAUAGUCCCUGCCCUCCAGAAGCCUGCCAUCUGCUGAGGAGAGAUGCUUCAGCAUGCUAACGCCCAUGAUAAAGGUUCAAGAUGUGUGAUGCCACAAGAUGCCAGAAGAAAUGCCCUGAACUAAAGUCUGGACAG